GGGGUGUGAUGCUAAGCAUGUGAGCUUGUCUUGGGAGUGUUUUUGAUGCUUCUGGGGUGGGUGAGUGUGUGAACCGAUCAUGUAGUAGGCAAGCUGCGGAGGGACGCAGUGAGGUAGCUCAUCCCCGGUGAUGGUUGUCCGGGGCUAAGUGUGUGGACUGUCUGGUAGGUAAAUCCGCUGGGCGUGAAGGUUGAGGCAUGAUGGGGAGCCCAUGGUUGUGGGUGAGUGAGUGAUCCUGUACUGUCGAGAAAAGCUUCGUGAGCGAGGUGGCGGGUCCGCCCGUACCCUAAACCGACACUGGUGGAUAGGUAGAGUAUACCGAGGCGAUCGAGUGAAUCGUGGUGAAGGAACUCGGCAAAAUGCCCCCGUAACUUUGGGAUAAGGGGGACCUGAGCUGUCGUGCACCCGUGCGGUGUGGUGGCGGUGAGGGGCGCAGAGUCCAGGGGGAAACGACUGUUUACCAAAAACACAGGUCCGUGCGAAGUCGUAAGACGAUGUAUACGGACUGACUCCUGCCCGGUGCUGGAAGGUUAAGGGGAACUGUGAGUGUAUGCGUAGCGGUGAACUUAAGCCCCAGUAAACGGCGGUGGUAACUAUAACCAUCCUAAGGUAGCGAAAUUCCUUGUCGGGUAAGUUCCGACCUGCACGAAUGGAGUAACGAUUUCCCUACUGUCUCCACCAUGAACUCGGUGAAAUUGCAUUACGAGUAAAGAUGCUCGUUACGCGCAGCAGGACGGAAAGACCCCGGGACCUUUACUAUAGUUUGGUAUUGGUGAUUGGGACGGUUUGUGUAGGAUAGGUGGGAGACGUUGAUGCGGCCACGCUAGUGGUGGUGGAGUCGUUGGUGAAAUACCACUCUGAUUGUUCUGGUUAUCUCACUGUGGACCGUGAUCCGGUUCAAGGACAGUGCCUGAUGGGUAGUUUGACUGGGGCGGUCGCCUCCUAAAGGGUAACGGAGGCGCCCAAAGGUUCCCUCAGCCUGGUUGGUAAUCAGGUGGUGAGUGUAAGUGCACAAGGGGGCUUGACUGUGAGACUGACAGGUCGAGCAGGGACGAAAGUCGGGACUAGUGAUCUGACGGUGGCUUGUGGAUGCGCCGUCACUCAACGGAUAAAAGGUACCCCGGGGAUAACAGGCUGAUCUUGCCCGAGCGCUCAUAGCGACGGCAUGGUUUGGCACCUCGAUG
rnacentral:rRNA from 1 species